rnacentral:rRNA from 1 species
UCAAGUUACAAAGGGCGCAGGGCGGAUGCCUUGGCACCAGGAGCCGAAGAAGGACGUGAUAAGCUGCGAAAAGCUGCGGGGAGGAGCAAAUAUCCAUUGAUCCGCAGGUAUCCGAAUGGGGAAACCCGGCAGAAAGAACUUCUGUCACCGUAUGAUGAAUCCAUAGUCAUACGGAGGGAACCCGGCGAACUGAAACAUCUAAGUAGCCGGAGGAAGAGGAAGAAACAUCGAAUCCCUAAGUAGUGGCGAGCGAAAGGGGACGAAGCCCAAACCAAGGAUUUAUCCUUGGGGUUGAGGACCACAUACGAAGAAGCAGUAGGUAGCAGAACGGUUUUGGGAAAGCCGGCCAAAGAGAGUGAAAGCCUCGUAUGCGAAACAGACUGUGAUUCAGUGGUAUCCGGAGUACUACGGGACACGAGAAACCCCGUAGGAAGCAGGGGGGACCACCCCCCAAGGCGAAAUACUACCUGGUGACCGAUAGAGUAUAGUACCGUGAGGGAAAGGUGAAAAGAACCCCGGGAGGGGAGUGAAAGAGAACCUGAAACCCUGUGUCUACAAGCUGCGGAAGAGCGACUAACGCUCGACCGUGUACUUUUUGUAGAACGGUCCGGCGAGUUGCCGUUGCUGGCAGGUUAAGUACUUAAGGUACGGAGCCGAAGGGAAACCAAGUCUUAAUAGGGCGGUAAGUCAGUAACGGCAGACCCGAAACCGGGUGAUCUACCCAUGGCCAGGAUGAAGUCUGCGUAAAAGUGGAUGGAGGUCCGAACACACGUCUGUUGAAAAAGGCGGUGAUGAGCUGUGGGUAGCGGAGAAAUUCCAAUCGAACUCGGAGAUAGCUGGUUCUCCCCGAAAUAGCUUUAGGGCUAGCCUCGGUAUAGUCUAAUGGAGGUAGAGCACUGAAUCGCUGCGGGGGCGUCAAAGUCUACCAAUGCGUAUCAAACUCCGAAUGCCAUAUAGAUGUUUACCGGGAGUCAGACUGUAUGAGAUAAGUCGGACAGUCAAAAGGGAAACAGCCCAGACCAUCUGCUAAGGUCCCAAAGUGUAUGUUAAGUGGUAAAGGAUGUGGGGUUUCGAAGACAACUAGGAUGUUGGCUCAGAAGCAGCCAUUCAUUCAAAGAGUGCGUAAUAGCUCACUAGUCGAGAGGUCCUGCGCCGAAAAUGUCCGGGGCUGAAACAUAACACCGAAGCAAUGGAAUAUACCGUAAGGUAUGUUGGUAGGGGAGCAUUGAUAACACGAAGAAGCGGUACCGUAAGGAGCCGUGGAGGGUUAUCAAGAGAGAAUGCCGGAAUGAGUAGCGAGAUGAAGGUGAGAAUCCUUCAGGCCGUAUAUCCAAGGUUUCCAGGGUAAAGCUGAUCUUCCCUGGGGAAGUCGGGACCUAAGCUCAGGCUGAGAAGCGUAGGCGAUGGACAACUGGUUGAUAUUCCAGUACCUCUGGCUAUCAGAAAUGUGGGGACACGGAGAUUCAGGGAGUGCCUGUAAAGGAUUCAGGUGCAAGCAUGGUUUAUGCCGGGCAGGCAAAUCCGUCCGGGUAAGUGAACUGUGUGAUGCGGACCGAAAUAUAAGUAGGGAAGCUCCUGGGAGAGCCGUCGAGAAAAGCCGCUAUUGUGUAGUCAGAGCCCGUACCGUAAACCGACACAGGUGGAUGGGGAGAGUAUCCCAAGGCCGGCGGGAGAAGCAUUGUUAAGGAACUCGGCAAAAUGGCCCCGUAAGUUCGCGAUAAGGGGUGCCUGUAGAGAUACAGGCCGCAGAGAAUAGGCUCAAGCAACUGUUUAGCAAAAACACAGGUCUAUGCGAAACCGUAAGGUGAUGUAUAUGGGCUGACGCCUGCCCGGUGCUGGAAGGUUACGGGGAGUGCUUAGGAGUAAUCCGAAGGUACGAACUUAAGCCCCAGUAAACGGCGGCCGUAACUAUAACGGUCCUAAGGUAGCGAAAUUCCUUGUCGGGUAAGUUCCGACCCGCACGAAAGGCGUAAUGAUUUGAGCGCUGUCUCAACAAUGCACCCGGUGAAAUUGAAGUACCAGUGAAGAUGCUGGUUACCUGCGCCAGGACGGAAAGACCCCAUGGAGCUUUACUC